AGUGAACGCUGGCGGUAGGCCUAACACAUGCAAGUCGAACGGCAGCACAGUAAGUGCUUGCUCUUACGGGUGGCGAGUGGCGGACGGGUGAGGAAUACAUCGGAAUCUACUUUUUCGUGGGGGAUAACGUAGGUAAACUUACUCUAAUACCGCAUACGACCUACGUUUGAAAGCAUUGGAUCUUCUGACCUUUCGCGAUUGAAUGAGCCGAUGUCGGAUUAGAUAGUUGGCGUGGUAAAGGCCCACCAAGGCGACGAUCCGUAGCUGGUCUGAGAGGAUGAACAGACAAACGGGAAGGGAAACAAGGUAAAGAAGACUAAGGGAGGCAGCAGAGGGGAAUAUUGGACAAUGGGCGCAAGAAUGAUACAGCAAUACCGAGUGGGUGAAGAAGGACUUCGGGUUGUAAAGCGAUUUUGUUGGGAAAGAAAAGAAGCAGGAUAAUAACAAGCUGUAGUGACGGUACCCAAAGAAGAAGCACCGGCUAACUACGUG
rnacentral:rRNA from 1 species